rnacentral:tRNA from 1 species
GCGCCUGUAGCUCAGCUGGAUAGAGCAACGGACUUCUAAUCCGUAGGCCGGGGGUUCGACUCCCUCCAGGCGCGCCA